UGCUCCAAUAUAAAAAAGGCAUCAAUUCGAGUUCAUUACAGUAGAUACUGUAGUUUGAUUCUUGAUAUUAAUCACUUGGCUCUCUGAUUGGGUUCUUGCUACAGACUGUGUCGACUGUUUCGACUUUAAACUGUCAGCAUUGUUCAUAUGAUAUCAACCACUGGCGGGAUUGACGAAUUUCCACCUACAAGAUCGUCACCUGAUAAAAGACGAUGGACGUGUUGAGAGUCCUGCUAAUAGUACAAACCUUGGCCGUUUCCUCGAUUUACGUUCUGGCAGAAG